rnacentral:rRNA from 1 species
AUUGAACGCUGGCGGCAUGCCUUACACAUGCAAGUCGAACGGUAACAGGCCGCAAGGUGCUGACGAGUGGCGAACGGGUGAGUAAUGCAUCGGAACGUGCCCAGUCGUGGGGGAUAACGCAGCGAAAGCUGCGCUAAUACCGCAUACGAUCUGUGGAUGAAAGCGGGGGACCGAAAGGCCUCGCGCGAUUGGAGCGGCCGAUGUCAGAUUAGGUAGUUGGUGGGGUAAAGGCCCACCAAGCCAACGAUCUGUAGCUGGUCUGAGAGGACGACCAGCCACACUGGGACUGAGACACGGCCCAGACUCCUACGGGAGGCAGCAGUGGGGAAUUUUGGACAAUGGGCGCAAGCCUGAUCCAGCAAUGCCGCGUGCAGGAAGAAGGCCUUCGGGUUGUAAACUGCUUUUGUACGGAACGAAACGGUCCGGGUUAAUACCCUGGGCUAAUGACGGUACCGUAAGAAUAAGCACCGGCUAACUACGUGCCAGCCGCCGCCGUAAGAC